rnacentral:rRNA from 1 species
GAAGGACUCUCGGCAACGGAUAUCUCGGCUCUCGCAUCGAUGAAGAACGUAGCGAAAUGCGAUACUUGGUGUGAAUUGCAGAAUCCCGUGAACCAUCGAGUCUUUGAACGCAAGUUGCGCCCGAAGCCUUUUGGCCAGGGCACGUCUGCCUGGGCGUCACGC